rnacentral:rRNA from 1 species
UACGUAGGGUGCAAGCGUUGCUCGGAAUUAUUGGGCGUAAAGCGCACGUAGGCGGCUCUCUAAGUCGGAUGUGAAAUCCUUUGGCUCAACCAAAGAAGUGCAUUCGAAACUGGAGAGCUUGAGUACUUAAGAGGAUCGCGGAAUUCCCGGUGUAGAGGUGAAAUGCGCAGAUAUCGGGAGGAACACCGGUGGCGAAGGCGGUUCUCUGGGCCUUACCUGACGCUGAGGAGCGAAAGCGUGGGGAGCGAACAGG